UACAGGUGGUGCGAGUGGUAUCCACGAAUAUUGAGUCUAAAGCGCUCGUAGCGGGCCCGGACAGUUCUCUGUGAAAUCUUCUGGCUUAACCAGAAGGCGUGCAGGGAAUACUACCAGGCUUGGGAGUGGGGGAGGCCAAGGGUACUUUAGGGGGAGGAGUAAAAUCCUGUAAUCCUUAAAGGACCUUCAGUAGCGAAGGCGCUUGGCCAAAACACGUCCGACCGUGAGGAGCGAAGGCUAGGGGAGCAAAUCG
rnacentral:rRNA from 1 species